GAUCCUGGCUCAGGACGAACGCUGGCGGCGUGCCUAAUACAUGCAAGUAGAACGCUGAAGGAGGAGCUUGCUUCUCCGGAUGAGUUGCGAACGGGUGAGUAACGCGUAGGUAACCUGCCUGGUAGCGGGGGAUAACUAUUGGAAACGAUAGCUAAUACCGCAUAAGAGUAGAUAUUGCAUGAUAUCUGCUUAAAAGGUGCAAUUGCAUCACUACCAGAUGGACCUGCGUUG
rnacentral:rRNA from 1 species